GACGAACGCUGGCGGCGUGCUUAACACAUGCAAGUCGAACGGAAAGGCCUCUUUCGGGGGGUACUCGAGUGGCGAACGGGUGAGUAACACGUGAGUAACCUGCCCUUGACUUUGGGAUAACUUCAGGAAACUGGGGCUAAUACCGGAUAGGAGCUCCUGCUGCAUGGUGGGGGUUGGAAAGUUUCGGCGGUUGGGGAUGGACUCGCGGCUUAUCAGCUUGUUGGUGGGGUAGUGGCUUACCAAGGCUUUGACGGGUAGCCGGCCUGAGAGGGUGACCGGCCACAUUGGGACUGAGAGAAGGCACAGACGCCUACGGGAGGAAGCAGUGGGGAAGAUUGCACAAGGGGUGGAAGCCUGAUGCAGCAACGCCGUGUGCGGGAUGACGGCCUUCGGGUUGUAAACCGCUUUCGCUCAUGACGAAGCUUUGUGUGACGGUAGUGGGUAAAGAAGCACCGGCUAACUACGUG
rnacentral:rRNA from 1 species